rnacentral:misc_RNA from 1 species
GCUAAAUCGCUUAUCAAUACUAUAAAAAAUCUUAACAUAAUUAUCUAAAAAAUUUAAUAUUUAUGGUGUGCGCAUCACUAUAGCACAAAAAUGUAUCGGAUGGUUGUCAGAUGUAAAUGCCUUUCAGAAUGAUAUACUUUUUUUGUUCGAUGGCUUUGCAUAACACAAUUUGUUUUCAUAUCAACUCUUCUUCGUUUAAUAAAUAGAGCAAAG